AGUGAACGCUGGCGGUAGGCCUAACACAUGCAAGUCGAACGGCAGCACAGUAAGAGCUUGCUCUUACGGGUGGCGAGUGGCGGACGGGUGAGGAAUACAUCGGAAUCUACUUUUUCGUGGGGGAUAACGUAGGGAAACUUACGCUAAUACCGCAUACGACCUACGGGGGAAAGUAGGGGAUCUUCGGACCUUGCGCGAUUGAAUGAGCCGAUGUCGGAUUAGCUAGUUGGCGGGGUAAAGGCCCACCAAGGCGACGAUCCGUAGCUGGUCUGAGAGGAUGAUCAGCCACACGGGAACUGAGACACGGUCCAGACUCCUACGGGAGGCAGCAGUGGGGAAUAUUGGGCAAUGGGCGCAAGCCUGAUCCAGCCAUACCGCGUGGGUGAAGAAGGCCUUCGGGUUGUAAAGCCCUUUUGUUGGGAAAGAAAAGCAGCAGGUUAAUACCCCGCUGUUCUGACGGUACCCAAAGAAUAAGCACCGGCUAACUUCGUG
rnacentral:rRNA from 1 species